rnacentral:piRNA from 2 species
ACUGCUCUUCCAGAAGUCCUGAGU